ensembl:lncRNA
GGCCAGCUUCGCUUGGAGCUCCAGCGCCUUGCGCCAAGAGAAAUCAUGACAUUAACAUGAUGUUAAAUGGCACUACAGAGGUUGUCAGGGACAUUAAACAUCAUCACGCCGAACGGGAAAAAACUUUGCAGAUAAACUCAGAGCUCUACAGUGCGACCAUUUCACUCGCAUUUGUGACUGAAAAGUAAUUUGUGCGACUGUGACUAAAUAUUUAUUCGCACUGGUGCGAGUGACCUGUUCGGAGUUGUAGAAUACAAUCGGAAUAAAAACUACAGGAAGUCCAAAAUGCAUCUACAGUUACUUUCACACUGCUUUUCAUCACCUCAGUCAACCGAACAAUCAUGCCGAUCGAUUGCUUCAGCAGCCACCUCAGCCAAAAUCCACCAUGCCUGAGGUUCGAUAACUGGCACUGGAUCUUUUCUUCUCUUUACGAUCACUCAGGGGACACAUUCACAAACAUAGGCAGAAAUAGUGUGCAUUUUUGUAAAAGCAUGGGGAAAAAAACAUGAAUGCACUUGAGAGAGGUUAUCACAGGGUCUGAUAUUGGGGAAAAAUUAGAUGAAAAAUGAAGGUGUUUUAGGUAAUAAAAAAUCCAUAAAUACUCAACCUUUUCCACUCAAAAAUCUAUAAAUAGUAAAUUCAUCCCAGCUUCUUUCUAAUGUG